CGGACAAAGGCGUGGCCCAACUGGGUCAUAACGUGUAAGGUUGGGGCUCACUGUCCUUCAAUAACCCACACAUUAAUACUGUACACAUUUGGAAUUUCUGAGGCUGGUAUAAUGAGAAUUGAGCUUCGAAUGUUCGUCCAUUGACAACUACAUUUGAAUCAUUGAUUUCUAAUUCUCUGUGAAACCGCCAUGCGUAUUUGACUAUGGGGGUUGUGUGUUUAUACAUAAACGACCCCGAAGUCACAUCAGGAGGCUCCGUGGAAGUGACUUCUCAAGAUAUCCCUGGCUUUUUCUAGCGCCGUUUCCGCCGCUACCUCGAGGUGAGGAGUCACUCCGGUCCCUUCCCAGGACGCUCCGUCCGGGUUGGAGGAUCUGACCGUCGGGAUGCUCAGGUACAGCUGGGUGUCAUCCACAUGGUAGGUCUGCGGGGGGUGACAGCCGCCACUGGUCAGCUCCCCGACCAGCACAGCCCUCCCCAGCCUCUUCAUCACGAAGACAAACUCCUCAGCCGCGCCCGAGGUGAAGUGGCUGGUGAGGAGGAUUAACUGCUUUCCACUGCCAUAUCGCUCACCUUUAUUAACAAGGGGAAAGAGAAAUGUCAGCGCGACCUCAAGGCCGAGAGGCGACUUUGUAACAAAACAAUAUUCCAGUACCUGCUACGUGUGGAACUGUCCACAGUUCGGAGAUGGUGUCAGUGGGUCUGCUGUAAACUCUAUCGAGGAGAACAGGCCUUCCAUCGUCAAAAAAGUAGGAACACAGGAGCGGGAUGGCAGAGGUCGGUCCUCCAAUGUUGUACCUACUCAGGAGAAGAUGUGUUUGAAUUAGUUAGACGCUGGAAAAUGGAAUGUGUGUUUGGGCCAUUUCAACAACACUCCGACCACGCGGAGAGUGAAGGGUUGAGCCUAAUUAUUAUCAAAGGGGACACUGUUGUUGAACGGAUCUUCUGAUCGAAAUCAAGGCACGAUGCAUGAAAUCUCCUUAUACACAGAAACUACACCUGAACGACCCAUUCUGAACUAGAGUUGUGUCUUGUGAGCCAUGAUUCCUGUGAAAGUGGAACUUGAAGCCGAGAGUGGUGCAUCUGUGGACAGCGAAACAGGGUUAAGAUCGGGACUACAACUUGAAUCUUCUUUCGACCUGAAAAGUGCUGGAAAUAUAAAAUUAGACUUUCAGAGCCUCUGAGUGUUCUUUAAUCAUGAACUGAGUGAACUGUUAAAAAUGCAAUUACAUUGCAUUGAGCAAGACGCAACUUUUAAAGGAACAAAAACAGGAAUUGCUGGAGAAACUCAGCAAGUUGGCAGCCUGUGUGGAGAAAAAACAGAGCUUUGAAGAAGAGUGAUAUUGGACUGAAAAGAUUAACUGUUUCGUUCUCUCUGGAUGCUGCCAGACGUGCUGAAGUUUUUCGGCACUCCACGCUGCUCUUGGCUCAACAACACACUUUCUGGAGGAGUACAGAGUCGGUGACUGAAAUCACUAUGCCUUCCUACAGCUUUGGUAUCAUUACAAGCAUUAAAUGUGGGUCAUCAAUUAUUGUAUUUUUGUCAUGCUUUAUUUCAUGAGAUCUAUUGAAAGCUGAAUGUCAGAGCAUCUUGAAACAUUCCUGUCAUUUAUGAGCCCAAAACCUGUCAGUCAUAGUCAGUGUUUUCCUUUUUGCCAUUAUGAAUGGUGUAAUUGUCUGCGUGCUCAUGUAGCUGUAACAUUAAAAGAUAUUAUUUGUUAGCAGUGCGGCUAAGUGGGAAAAUAUUUGUAUUAUAUAAUCAAGGCAAGUUUGAUCAAGGCAAGUUACAGAUCAGCCACAAAUUUGUUGCUUACAUCCAUAUAUCAUUUAAGUAUGAGCUGGGAACUUGUAAAUGUGAACAGCACAUUUCCCUUGGUUAAACUAUGAAUUAUAGUGUAUUUCUGAAGGAACAAGUAAAAUGGUGCUCCGGUUUCCUCCCACAGUCCAAAGAUGUGCAGGUCAGGUGAAUUGGCCAUGCUAAGUGUUAGU